rnacentral:sRNA from 1 species
UUGCGGGCGUGAUGGCAGCGGCAUCCUUUUUUGAGGCACGAAAAAAAGAUACAGCGGACAGCGCGGAUUUCC